rnacentral:lncRNA from 1 species
CUGCUAAUGUUUGUAAAAGGGGGCACCGGCGGUGACCUCCAAGACGCUGGAUCUGCCGUGGAAACCAGAGGGAGGUGAGGGCGCCAUUUCAAACCGAAUGAAAAUGUCACCCCAUUAGGGCGUCUAAUAAUAUCUCCUGGUUCCUGUGAAUCCGAGUCAGUCAGAAAAGCUGGUUUUAGAUGCAGGGUGUCAUGAAUAAAU